AACGAACGCUGGCGGCAGGCCUCAAACAUGCAAGUCUAGGGGGUGUAGCAAUACAUCACCGGCGGACGGGUGCGUAACGCGUGGGAAUAUACCUAUUGGUUCGGAACAACUGAGGGAAACUUCAGCUAAUACCGGAUACGUCCUUACGGAGAAAGAUUUAUCGCCAAUAGAUUAGCCCGCGUUCGAUUAGCUAGUUGGUGGGGUAACGGCCCACCAAGGCGACGAUCGAUAGCUGUUCUGAGAGGAAGAUCAGCCACACUGGGACUGAGACACGGCCCAGACUCCUACGGGAGGCAGCAGUUGGGAAUCUUGGACAAUGGGGGAAACCCUGAUCCAGCCAUGCCGCGUGAGUGAUGAAGGCCUUCGGGUUGUAAAACUCUUUCGCGCACGACGAUAAUGACGGUAGUGCGAGAAGAAGCUCCGGCUAACUUCGUG
rnacentral:rRNA from 1 species